GGGUUGUGAGGUUAAGCGACUAAGCGUACACGGUGGAUGCCCUGGCAGUCAGAGGCGAUGAAGGACGUGCUAAUCUGCGAUAAGCGUCGGUAAGGUGAUAUGAACCGUUAUAACCGGCGAUUUCCGAAUGGGGAAACCCAGUGUGAUUCGUCACACUAUCAUUAACUGAAUCCAUAGGUUAAUGAGGCGAACCGGGGGAACUGAAACAUCUAAGUACCCCGAGGAAAAGAAAUCAACCGAGAUUCCCCCAGUAGCGGCGAGCGAACGGGGAGCAGCCCAGAGCCUGAAUCAGUGUGUGUGUUAGUGGAAGCGUCUGGAAAGGCGUGCGAUACAGGGUGACAGCCCCGUACACAAAAAUGCACAUACUGUGAGCUCGAUGAGUAGGGCGGGACACGUGGUAUCCUGUCUGAAUAUGGGGGGACCAUCCUCCAAGGCUAAAUACUCCUGACUGACCGAUAGUGAACCAGUACCGUGAGGGAAAGGCGAAAAGAACCCCGGCGAGGGGAGUGAAAAAGAACCUGAAACCGUGUACGUACAAGCAGUGGGAGCCUCUUUAUGGGGUGACUGCGUACCUUUUGUAUAAUGGGUCAGCGACUUAUAUUCUGUAGCAAGGUUAACCGAAUAGGGGAGCCGAAGGGAAACCGAGUCUUAACUGGGCGUUAAGUUGCAGGGUAUAGACCCGAAACCCGGUGAUCUAGCCAUGGGCAGGUUGAAGGUUGGGUAACAC
rnacentral:rRNA from 1 species